rnacentral:rRNA from 1 species
CCUACGGGAGGCAGCAGUGGGGAAUAUUGGGCAAUGGGCGCAAGCCUGACCCAGCAACGCCGCGUGAAGGAAGAAGGCUUUCGGGUUGUAAACUUCUUUUGUCAGGGAAGCGUAGAAGACGGUACCUGACGAAUAAGCCACGGCUAACUACGUGCCAGCAGACGCGGUAAUACGUAGGGGGCAAGCGUAUUCCGGAUUUAUUGGGUUUAAAGGGGGCGCAGGCGGAUUAUUAAGUCAGCGGUCAAAUCGUGGGGCUCAACCCCGUCCAGCCGUUGAAACUGAGGAUCUAGAGUGUGCGAGAGGUAUGCGGAAUGCGUGGUGUAGCGGUGAAAUGCAUAGAUAUCACGCAGAACCCCGAUUGCGAAGGCAGCAUACCGGUGCACAACUGACGCUCAGGCACGAAAGCGUGGGUAUCGAACAGGAUUAGAUACCCGGGUAGUC